GAUGAACGCUGGCGGCGUGCCUAAUACAUGCAAGUCGAGCGAACGGACGAGAAGCUUGCUUCUCUGAUGUUAGCGGCGGACGGGUGAGUAACACGUGGAUAACCUACCUAUAAGACUGGGAUAACUUCGGGAAACCGGAGCUAAUACCGGAUAAUAUUUUGAACCGCAUGGUUCAAAAGUGAAAGACGGUCUUGCUGUCACUUAUAGAUGGAUCCGCGCUGCAUUAGCUAGUUGGUAAGGUAACGGCUUGCCAAGGCAACGAUGCAUAGCCGACCUGAGAGGGGGUUCGCCCACCCUGAAACGGACACCGGGCCCAGACUCCUGCGGGAGGAACAAGGAGGAACUCUUCCGGAAGGGGCGAAGGCCGGACGGAGCACCGCGGCGUGAGUGAUGAGGGUCUCCGAUUCAAAAACCUUUUUUAUGGGGAAAAAACAUAUGGGUAAGUAACUGUCCCCUUCUGGCCGGUACCUAAUAAAAAGCCCCGGGCUACCUCCGUC
rnacentral:rRNA from 1 species